UACGUAGGGUGCGAGCGUUAAUCGGAAUUACUGGGCGUAAAGCGUGCGCAGGCGGUUCGCCAAGUCAGGUGUGAAAUCCCUCAGCUUAACUGGGGAACUGCGUCUGAUACUGAGUGGCUUGAGUGCAGGAGAGGAAUGCGGAAUUCCAGGUGUAGCGGUGAAAUGCGUAGAUAUCUGGAGGAACACCGGUGGCGAAGGCGGCAUUCUGGACUGUAACUGACACUGAGGAACGAAAGCCAGGGGAGCAAACGGG
rnacentral:rRNA from 1 species